UGGGGAAUAUUGGACAAUGGGCGCAAGCCUGAUCCAGCCAUGCCGCGUGAGUGAUGAAGGCCCUAGGGUUGUAAAGCUCUUUCACCGGUGAAGAUAAUGACGGUAGCCGGAGAAGAAGCCCCGGCUAACUUCGUGCCAGCAGCCGCGGUAAUACGAAGGGGGCUAGCGUUGUUCGGAAUUACUGGGCGUAAAGCGCGCGUAGGCGGAUUGUUAAGUUAGGGGUGAAAUCCCAGGGCUCAACCCUGGAACUGCCUUUAAUACUGGCAAUCUGGAGUCCGAGAGAGGUGAGUGGAAUUCCGAGUGUAGAGGUGAAAUUCGUAGAUAUUCGGAGGAACACCAGUGGCGAAGGCGGCUCACUGGCUCGGUACUGACGCUGAGGUGCGAAAGCGUGGGGAGCAAACAGGAUUAGAUACCCGUGUAGUCC
rnacentral:rRNA from 1 species